rnacentral:tRNA from 1 species
GACGUGGCGCAGUUUGGUAGCGCGCUUGCUUUGGGAGCAAGAUGUCGCAGGUUCGAAUCCUGUCGUC